rnacentral:rRNA from 1 species
UUACCACCCCUUGACAUCCUGUGCCACUCCGAGAGAUCGGACGUUCCCUUCGGGGACGCAGUGACAGGUGCUGCAUGGCUGUCGUCAGCUCGUGUCGUGAGAUGUUCGGUUAAGUCCGGCAACGAGCGCAACCCACAUCCUUAGUUGCCAGCAGUUCGGCUGGGCACUCUAAGGAAACUGCCCGUGAUAAGCGGGAGGAAGGUGUGGAUGACGUCAAGUCCUCAUGGCCCUUACGGGUUGGGCUACACACGUGCUACAAUGGCAGUGACAAUGGGUUAAUCCCCAAAAGCUGUCUCAGUUCGGAUUGGGGUCUGCAACUCGACCCCAUGAAGUCGGA